rnacentral:misc_RNA from 1 species
UUGCUGUUUCAAAUGAAUUGACCACUUGUAUAGAAGUUAUAGAUGAAGGGUCUAGCCUAGGCAUUCUGCAGGAUGUUGUUGAAUUUUCACGGACUGCUUCUAAAGUGGAUUUUGAAACUCCAAUUCUAGAAGUGAAGUNNNNGUGAAGUUCACUUCUCAGGAAAACGUGAACCUCAAGUCUCCCCUUGAGGCCCUUUUGGCUGGCAUGCCAGAUUUGAAUACUGAAGUUAAAUCAGCGGAGGAAAGUGGUGAGGAUGAUUCUCAAAUUGACGAUCAAUACUUAAUUUCGGUGGAUGAUUGGGGAGUGAUGGGUUCUGCAACUGAUAACCAUUUAUCCAUAGAUAAGGACUAUUACAAUCUCACUCUCUUACCUUUGCAUGCAGAAGAUACAACAUAUUUGAUAUGAAAAAUGGGCAGCAGCUAUUAUUCUGUAGAUAUUUAGCUGUACAUAAUCUGGUUUAGAUGAGUAGAAUUUGUUUGUUCACC